GGUCCUGUGAGUGUAUGCAGGAUUUGGCCUGCCCCAUGAUUAAUUAAAUGGCCGCAGUAUUUUGACUGUGCAAAGGUAGCAUAAUCAUUAGUUCUUUAAUUGGGAUCUGGUAUGAAGGGUUGGACGAGGGGAUAGCUGUCUAAAUUUUGAUUGAUUUGAAUUUUAUUUUUGAGUGAAAAGGCUCAAAUGGGCCUGAGGGACGAUAAGACCCUAUAGAGCUUUAUUUUCUUGGGUGUAAGCAAUAUAUUUGGGGAAAAUUUUGUUGGGGUGACAGGGAGAUAUGGGUAACUCUCUUUAAUUGUAAUUAUUUAUUGGUAUGUGUAAAGAUCCAUUUUUGAUGAAAAUAGGAAUAAGUUACCUUAGGGAUAACAGCGUAAUUUUUCCUGAGAGUUCUUAUCGACGGAAAAGCUUGCGACCUCGAUGUUGGAUUAAAGGGUUUUGGUGGUGGAGAAGCUACCAUGGAGGGUCUGUUCGACCUUUAAAUCUUUACA
rnacentral:rRNA from 1 species